GGGAGGGGAGGGAGAAACUGGGGCAAGGUGAGGGUGGGGUAGGGGGCAUUGUCUUCAAGAGAAGGCAUUGCUUAGAGAUUGGUUGGGCAUCAGUUUACUUGUAGGAGUUGGUGAGUGCCUUUGUAUCAGAACGGAUUGCCUAAGCAUCAUUUGUUUUCUUCUCUCUUUUCUUCAUUUAUUAAGCCGUUUAUAUCUUGACACGAGUCCUCUUGCUUUUGCUCUUCUCUGUGCACCUGAUCCUUCAAUCAAUUGCCCCAGAGCCCUAAAGUCCCUUUUGGUCACUUUUGGUCUUCUCUUUUCUAUCUUAUCGGUGCCAACGUGAAAAACCAACAAUGGGAAAUAAUCAGAGGGAUGUACCAGGUCAAUUGGAGACAACGUGAGGUGUUCAACCAGCACUUGAAGGCAGUCAUUUCCCAAUGCCACGUUCACCCACUUCGUUAAAGGACUUGAUCUCUUGAAGUGUAAUGAAGCUGGUCUCAUUGUGUCAGACUUUGAAA